UGGGGAAUAUUGGGCAAUGGGCGAAAGCCUGACCCAGCAACGCCGCGUGAGGGAAGAAGGUUUUCGGAUUGUAAACCUCUGUCCUUGGGGACGAAGAAAGUGACGGUACCCAAGGAGGAAGCCCCGGCUAACUACGUGCCAGCAGCCGCGGUAAUACGUAGGGGGCAAGCGUUGUCCGGAAUUACUGGGCGUAAAGGGUGCGUAGGCGGUUUUUUAAGUCAGAUGUGAAAUCCCCGGGCUUAACUCGGGUGUUGCAUUUGAAACUGGGGAACUAGGGGGAGGGGGAGGAAGGGGGAAUCCCAGGGGUGGGGGUGAAAUGGGUAAUUAUUGGAGGAAACACAGGGGGGGAGGGGGGCUUCUGGGAUGGAGGCGGCGGCUGGGCAAGAAAGGGGUGGGAGCAAACAG
rnacentral:rRNA from 1 species